CCAGGGGCGGCCCGGCAGGGACAGGAGCGCGACGUCCUUGCUGGUGUGGCACCCGUGGCCUUGGUGUGUGGUACCGAUAGAAGCGAGGCAAAACAGCGGAGAUGGAAGUCUUCUUCAGCACUCAGCCAGACCUGGCUGGAUGUCCUCAAGCCUCAGCUUUGGAACCCUUAUCAGCUAUAAAAGGAUCCAAACCCUUCAACCCAGGGGAUUUUUCUCCACAAAACGAGAGGCUAUCAAGCAUGGAAAUGUCCCAUGGUGUACAGCUGUGUUAUGAUUUUUAUGGCAGACCUUGAAGAGCUUCAAGACUCCAGGCAACAUUUCAGAGCUAUUAAUCCUCCAAACUCAACUGUGAGCUCCAGGUUUUCUAGUAGCUGCAAUAAUUAAUUUUUUUAAAAGGAUACUUUAAAAUCUUCUUGGGUGAGGAAUGUCUGUAUUUUACAUCUCAGAUAGCGUGUUUUAAAAGUUUAAUUAAAAAUAACUUUUUUUUGUCUUUU